rnacentral:rRNA from 1 species
UCGGGAAUUUUGGGCAAUGGGCGAAAGCCUGACCCAGCAACGCCGCGUGAAGGAUGAAGUAUUUCGGUAUGUAAACUUCGUAAGAAUAGGAAGAAUAAAUGACGGUACUAUUUGUAAGGUCCGGCUAACUACGUGCCAGCAGCCGCGGUAAUACGUAGGGACCAAGCGUUGUUCGGAUUUACUGGGCGUAAAGGGCGCGUAGGCGGUGUGUCAAGUCAGUUGUGAAAUCUCCGAGCUUAACUCGGAACGGUCAACUGAUACUGUCACACUAGAGUACAGAAGGGGCAAUCGGAAUUCUUGGUGUAGCGGUGAAAUGCGUAGAUAUCAAGAGGAACACCUGAGGCGAAGGCGGGUUGCUGGGCUGAUACUGACGCUGAGGCGCGAAAGCUAGGGUAGCAAACGGGAUUAGAACCCAUGUAGUCCCUGAGCGGGCUGGCAAGGCGCAU